rnacentral:rRNA from 1 species
UACGGGGGGAGCAAGCGUUGUUCGGAUUUACUGGGCGUAAAGGGCGCGUAGGCGGCCACCGCAAGUCGGUUGUGAAAUCUCUGGGCUUAACCCAGAAAGGUCAACCGAUACUGCGGGGCUAGAGUGCAGAAGGGGCAACUGGAAUUCUCGGUGUAGCGGUGAAAUGCGUAGAUAUCAGGAGGAACACCGGUGGCGAAGGCGGGUCUCUGGGCAGUAACUGACGCUGAGGAGCGAAAGCGUAGGGAGCGAACAGG